UUAGGAAUUUUGCGCAAUGGGAGAAAUCCUGACGCAGCAACGCCGCGUGGGUGAUGAAGGCCUUCGGGUUGUAAAACCCUUUUAGCGGGAACGAAAAAAAUGACGGUACCCGCAGAAAAAGCACCGGCUAACUCUGUGCCAGCAGCCGCGGUAAUACAGAGGGUGCUAGCGUUAUUCGGAAUGACUGGGCGUAAAGCGCGUGUAGGCGGUUCGGUAAGUCUGAUGUGAAAGCCCCCGGCUCAAUCGGGGAAGUGCAUCGGAUACUGCCGGGCUGGAGUGCAGGAGGGGAGAACGGAAUUCCUGGUGUAGAGGUGAAAUUCGUAGAUAUCAGGAGGAACAACGGUGGCGAAGGCGGUUCUCUGGACUGUAACUGACGCUGAGACGCGAAAGCGUGGGGAGCAAACAGG
rnacentral:rRNA from 1 species